AACGCGAAGAACCUUACCUGGGUUUGACAUGUAGGGAAAAGCCGUAGAGAUACGGUGUCCUUUGGGUCCCGUACCACAGGUGGUGCAUGGCUGUCGUCAGCUCGUGUCGUGAGAUGUUGGGUUAAGUCCCGCAACGAGCGCAACCCUUGUCCUAUGUUGCCAGCGGGUAAUGCCGGGGACUCGUAGGAGACUGCCGGGGUCAACUCGGAGGAAGGUGGGGACGAGGUCAAGUCAUCAUGCCCCUUACGUCCAGGGCUGCACACAUGCUACAAUGGCCGGUACAGAGGGCUGCUAAUUCGUGAGAAGGAGCCAAUCCCUAAAGCCGGCCUCAGUUCGGAUCGCAGUCUGCAACUCGACUGCGUGAAGUCGGAGUCGCUAGUAAUCCCGGAUCAGCAUUGCCGGGGUGAAUACGUUCCCGGGCCUUGUACACACCGGAGUA
rnacentral:rRNA from 1 species